rnacentral:rRNA from 1 species
UACGUAGGGGGCAAGCGUUGUCCGGAUUUAUUGGGCGUAAAGAGCGUGUAGGCGGCCUGGUAGGUCAGCUGUGAAAACUCGAGGCUCAACCUCGAGACGUCGGUUGAAACCACCUGGCUAGAGUCCGGAAGAGGAGAGUGGAAUUCCCGGUGUAGCGGUGAAAUGCGCAGAUAUCGGGAAGAACACCCGUGGCUAAGGCGGCUCUCUAGUACGGUACUGACGCUGAGACGCGAAAGCGUGGGGAGCGAUCCGG